rnacentral:lncRNA from 1 species
GAAGGGAUUAGAAAGGAGUGUUUGUUCGCCUCUGAAGUUUCUGAUGUGCUGUCUCUACAUUGCAAUCAUGAUCAUUACUGAGAAAAACCGUAGAGAGAUCUGCAAACACCUUUUCCAAGAGGAAGUUUUGUAUGCAAAGAAGGAUUUCAAUUUGGCUAAUCACCCAGAGAUUGAUGUGCCAAAUCUGCAAGUGAUUAAGCUGAUGCAAAGUUUCAAAUCUUGGG